GACGAACGCUGGCGGCGUGCUUAACACAUGCAAGUCGAACGAUGAAGCCUAGCUUGCUAGGUGGAUUAGUGGCGAACGGGUGAGUAAUACGUGAGUAACCUACCUUUAACUCUGGGAUAAGCCCGGGAAACUGGGUCUAAUACCGGAUACGACCAAUCUCCGCAUGGGGUGUUGGUGGAAAGCGUUAUGUAGUGGUUAUAGAUGGGCUCACGGCCUAUCAGCUUGUUGGUGAGGUAACGGCUCACCAAGGCGACGACGGGUAGCCGGCCUGAGAGGGUGACCGGCCACACUGGGACUGAGACACGGCCCAGACUCCUACGGGAGGCAGCAGUGGGGAAUAUUGCACAAUGGGCGCAAGCCUGAUGCAGCGACGCCGCGUGAGGGAUGACGGCCUUCGGGUUGUAAACCUCUGUUAGCAGGGAAGAAGAGAGAUUGACGGUACCUGCAGAGAAAGCGCCGGCUAACUACGUGCCAGCAGCCGCGGUAAUACGUAGGGCGCGAGCGUUGUCCGGAAUUAUUGGGCGUAAAGAGCUUGUAGGCGGUUUGUCGCGUCUGCUGUGAAAGGCCGGGGCUUAACUCCGUGUAUUGCAGUGGGUACGGGCAGACUAGAGUGCAGUAGGGGAGACUGGAAUUCCUGGUGUAGCGGUGGAAUGCGCAGAUAUCAGGAGGAACACCGAUGGCGAAGGCAGGUCUCUGGGCUGUAACUGACGCUGAGAAGCGAAAGCAUGGGGAGCGAACAGGAUUAGAUACCCUGGUAGUCCAUGCCGUAAACGUUGGGCACUAGGUGUGGGGGACAUUCCACGUUUUCCGCGCCGUAGCUAACGCAUUAAGUGCCCCGCCUGGGGAGUACGGCCGCAAGGCUAAAACUCAAAGAAAUUGACGGGGGCCCGCACAAGCGGCGGAGCAUGCGGAUUAAUUCGAUGCAACGCGAAGAACCUUACCAAGGCUUGACAUAUACUGGACCGCAUCAGAGAUGGUGUUUCCCUUCGGGGCUGGUAUACAGGUGGUGCAUGGUUGUCGUCAGCUCGUGUCGUGAGAUGUUGGGUUAAGUCCCGCAACGAGCGCACCCUCGUUCUAUGUUGCCAGCACGUUAUGGUGGGGACUCAUAGGAGACUGCCGGGGUCAACUCGGAGGAAGGUGGGGAUGACGUCAAAUCAUCAUGUCCCUUAUGUCUUGGGCUUCACGCAUGCUACAAUGGCCGGUACAGAGGGUUGCGAUACUGUGAGGUGGAGCUAAUCCCUAAAAGCCGGUCUCAGUUCGGAUUGGGGUCUGCAACUCGACCCCAUGAAGUCGGAGUCGCUAGUAAUCGCAGAUCAGCAACGCUGCGGUGAAUACGUUCCCGGGCCU
rnacentral:rRNA from 1 species